UUUAUUUGAUAAUACUACUACUUGGAUAACCGUGGUAAUUCUAGAGCUAAUACAUGCUGAAAAUCCCGACUUCGGAAGGGAUGUGUUUAUUAGAUAAAAAACCAAUGCCCUUCGGGGCUUUUUGGUGAUUCAUGAUAACUUUACGGAUCGCAUAGCCUUGCGCUGGCGACGGUUCAUUCAAAUUUCUGCCCUAUCAACUUUCGAUGGUAAGGUAUUGGCUUACCAUGGUUUCAACGGGUAACGGGGAAUUAGGGUUCGAUUCCGGAGAGGGAGCCUGAGAAACGGCUACCACAUCCAAGGAAGGCAGCAGGCGCGCAAAUUACCCAAUCCCGACACGGGGAGGUAGUGACAAUAAAUACUGAUACAGGGCUCUUUUGGGUCUUGUAAUUGGAAUGAGUACAAUUUAAACCUCUUAACGAGGAACAAUUGGAGGGCAAGUCUGGUGCCAGCAGCCGCGGUAAUUCCAGCUCCAAUAGCGUAUAUUAAAGUUGUUGCAGUUAAAAAGCUCGUAGUUGAAACUUGGGCCUGGCUGGCGGGUCCGCCUCACCGCGUGCACUCGUCCGGCCGGGCCUUCCUUCUGAAGAACCUCAUGCCCUUCACUGGGCGUGCUGGGGAAUCAGGACUUUUACUUUGAAAAAAUUAGAGUGUUCAAAGCAGGCCUUUGCUCGAAUACGUUAGCAUGGAAUAAUAAAAUAGGGCGUGCGUUUCUAUUUUGUUGGUUUCUAGAGACGCCGCAAUGAUUAACAGGAACAGUCGGGGGCAUCAGUAUUCAGUUGUCAGAGGUGAAAUUCUUGGAUUUACUGAAGACUAACUACUGCGAAAGCAUUUGCCAAGGAUGUUUUCAUUAAUCAGGAACGAAAGUUAGGGGAUCGAAGACGAUCAGAUACCGUCGUAGUCUUAACCGUAAACUAUGCCGACUAGGGAUCGGGCGAUGUUCUUUUUUGACUCGCUCGGCACCUUACGAGAAAUCAAAA
rnacentral:rRNA from 1 species